AGAGUUUGAUCCUGGCUUAGGAUGAACGCUAGCUACAGGCUUAACACAUGCAAGUCGAGGGGCAGCAUGAAGUUUGCUUGCAAACUUGAUGGCGACCGGCGCACGGGUGAGUAACGCGUAUCCAACCUUCCCUAUAGUAGGGGGUAGCCCGUAGAAAUGCGGAUUAAUACCCUAUGUUGUAUUUUGAGGACAUCUGACGAAUACCAAAGGUUCACCGCUAUAGGAUGGGGAUGCGUCUGAUUAGGUAGUCGGCGGGGUAACGGCCCACCGAGCCAACGAUCAGUAGGGGUUCUGAGAGGAAGGUCCCCCACAUUGGAACUGAGACACGGUCCAAACUCCUACGGGAGGCAGCAGUGAGGAAUAUUGGUCAAUGGGCGAGAGCCUGAACCAGCCAAGUAGCGUGCAAGGAUGACUGCCCUAUGGGUUGUAAACUGCUUUUAUAGGGGAAUAAAGUCCACUACGUGUAGUGGUUUGUAUGUACCCUAUGAAUAAGGACCGGCUAAUUCCGUGCCAGCAGCAGC
rnacentral:rRNA from 1 species